rnacentral:lncRNA from 1 species
ACACACAUACACAUGGGCAGGCAAACGGCAUGAAAAUGCGGUAAAAAAGCAAGAAGCAGAGUGCGCAGCAGAGAGAUGAAUAUAAAAUAUUUGGUUAAUAAUGCACACACAGAGGCAUGUCGUUGCAAUUCGUGCAUAUGUAUUGCUGGCGAUAUGCACACACACACACAGGCACGCACAUACAUAUGCAGUUCAUAACGGCAAAUGGACGGGGCAUUGUUGAAAUUGUUGAAAUUUGGUGGAAAAAUAUGCUAUGCUCUCUGCUACGGGCGCUUUAAAAUGCAUUCAAGUGCAAGUGCCGCAAAUGCAGUUCACUUCGCUGAAUCGAUAGAGAGCGAGGUGGGUGGCGAUUCAGCCCCCACAUGUCCCCCCACGCCCACACUUUCGUGCACAUUCACCUAACUACUCCCAUGAACAAUUGCAACAUUUUGGCAAAAGUCAAGGAAGUCGGCCCUCCCGCUCGCACCUUCGCCUCGCGCGCCACUCCGCCGCCUGCGUCCGAGCGAGACAACUGUAGUGUACUUCAGACCUGGCGUGAUGUAUAAUUCGCACAAGGCACAAACAAUUCAUUUCAGGCAUGAGAGAGAGCGAGCUCAAGUCUCCGCCCAAUAAUGCAAAGAGGUUGAACCCCUUGCUCUCAGGAAACCGGUUUAUUUCCACAGUGUACACUGUGCGUGUGUGCGUUUAUGCCUGUGUGCGCUAGUUUGUGUGAGAGUGAGCAGCACAGUGGCUGCGGCAGACAUCUUUUGCCAAGGGUUGGACUUUUGCCGCAGGACUCGCAGCUGACCUUAAGCUUGCCUCCCCUUCCCCCCUCCACCAUCAAGCAAACACACACACACACGCACCCUGCCAAAAAUAUGUGCGUGUACUGCCUGCCGUAAAGGGGCGUAAUUAAAACCGAAGGGGGAGUGGAGUGGGGGUGUAAUGUCGGUGGGGCAUGUAACCGCCAGGUCGCUCCUAAAUACUUUCACCAACUAUGCCAUGUUGUCAUAAUUCUUCAUCCACCUAUAAGGCACACACCCGAAAAACCACACAUAGAAAUAAAAUAAAAAAUGUAGGAUGGGGAGGG